rnacentral:rRNA from 1 species
GUGAGUGAUGAAGGCCUUAGGGUUGUAAAGCUCUUUCGCCAGGGAAGAUAAUGACGGUACCUGGAUAAGAAGCCCCGGCUAACUCCGUGCCAGCAGCCGCGGUAAUACGGAGGGGGCUAGCGUUGUUCGGAAUUACUGGGCGUAAAGCGCACGUAGGCGGCUAUCCAAGUUGGGGGUGAAAUCCCUGGGCUUAACCCAGGAACUGCCUUCAAAACUGGAUGGCUAGAGUCCGAGAGAGGUGAGUGGAAUUUCCAGUGUAGAGGUGAAAUUCGUAGAUAUUGGAAAGAACACCAGUGGCGAAGGCGGCUCACUGGCUCGGUACUGACGCUGAGGUGCGACAGCGUGGGGAGCAAACAGGAUUAGAUACCCUGGUAGUCCACGCCGUAAACGAUGGGUGCUAGUUGUCAGGCAGCUUGCUGCUUGGUGACGCAGCUAACGCAUUAAGCACCCCGCCUGGGGAGUACGGUCGCAAGAUUAAAACUCAAAGGAAUUGACGGGGGCCCGC